AACGCGAAGAACCUUACCUACUCUUGACAUCCACGGAAUUUAGCAGAGAUGCUUUAGUGCCUUCGGGAACCGUGAGACAGGUGCUGCAUGGCUGUCGUCAGCUCGUGUUGUGAAAUGUAGGGUUAAGUCCCGCAACGAGCGCAACCCUUAUCCUUUGUUGCCAGCGAGUAAUGUCGGGGACUCAAAGGAGACUGCCGGUGAUAAACCGGAGGAAGGUGGGGAUGACGUCAAGUCAUCAUGGCCCUUACGAGUAGGGCUACACACGUGCUACAACGGCAUAUACAAAGAGAAGCGAACUCGCGAGAGCAAGCGGACCUCAUAAAGUAUGUCGUAGUCCGGAUUGGAGUCUGCAACUCGACUCCAUGAAGUCGGAAUCGCUAGUAAUCGUAGAUCAGAAUGCUACGGUGAAUACGUUCCCGGGCCUUGUACACACCGCCCGU
rnacentral:rRNA from 1 species